UUCCGGUUGAUCCUGCCGGACCUGACUGCUAUCGGAUUGAUACUAAGCCAUGCGAGUCAUUGUAGCAAUACAAGGCAUACGGCUCAGUAACGCGUAGUCAACCUAACCUAUGGACGGGAAUAACCUCGGGAAACUGAGAAUAAUGCCCGAUAGAACACUAUACCUGGAAUGGUUUGUGUUCCAAAUGAUUUAUCGCCAUAGGAUGGGACUGCGGCCUAUCAGUUUGUUGGUGAGGUAAUGGCCCACCAAGACUAUUACAGGUACGGGCUCUGAGAGGAGUAGCCCGGAGAUGGGUACUGAGACACGGACCCAGGCCCUAUGGGGCGCAGCAGGCGAGAAAACUUUGCAAUGUGCGAAAGCACGACAAGGUUAAUCCGAGUGAUUUGUGCUAAACGAAUCUUUUGUUAGUCCUAGAAACACUAACGAAUAAGGGGUGGGCAAGUUCUGGUGUCAGCCGCCGCGGUAAAACCAGCACCUCAAGUGGUCAGGAUGAUUAUUGGGCCUAAAGCAUCCGUAGCCGGCUCUGUAAGUUUUCGGUUAAAUCUGUACGCUUAACGUACAGGCUGCCGGGAAUACUGCAAAGCUAGGGAGUGGGAGAGGUAGACGGUACUCGGUAGGAAGUGGUAAAAUGCUUUGAUCUAUCGAUGACCACCUGUGGCGAAGGCGGUCUACCAGAACACGUCCGACGGUGAGGGAUGAAAGCUGGGGGAGCAAACCGGAUUAGAUACCCGGGUAGUCCCAGCUGUAAACUAUGCAAACUCAGUGAUGCAUUGGCUUGUGGCCAAUGCAGUGCUGCAGGGAAGCCGUUAAGUUUGCCGCCUGGGAAGUACGUACGCAAGUAUGAAACUUAAAGGAAUUGGCGGGGGAGCACCACAAGGGGUGAAGCCUGCGGUUCAAUUGGAUUCAACGCCGGG
rnacentral:rRNA from 2 species